UAGGUUGUUUAUUUACUAUUCUUUCUGUCUUCUUUAGGUAGGCCUAUAUUGCUCUGAACUUCCCUCUCAGGACUGCCUUCACUGUGUCCCAUAGGUUUUGGAUUGUUGUAUGUUCAGUUUCAUUGGUUUCCAGAUACGUUUUUAUUUCUUUCUUGAUCUCAUUGUUAACUCUUUCAUUAUUUAAUAACAUGUUAUUCAACCUCCAUGUAUUUGAAUGUUUUUGAGUUUUUUCCUUGAGGCUGGUUUCUAGCUUCAAGCCAUUGUGAUCUGAGAAGAUGCUUUAUAUGAUUUCAAUUUUCUUGAAUUUGUUAAGGUUUAUUUUCUGUCCUACAAUGUGACCUAUCUUUAAAAUGAUCCAUGUGUAUUUUAAAAGGAUGUAUACUUUGUUUCUUUGGGGUGAAAUGUUC